CCUACGGGUGGCAGCAGUGAGGAAUAUUGGUCAAUGGGCGCGAGCCUGAACCAGCCAAGUAGCGUGAAGGAUGACUGCCCUACGGGUUGUAAACUUCUUUUAUAAAGGAAUAAAGUGAGGCACGUGUGCCUUUUUGUAUGUACUUUAUGAAUAAGGAUCGGCUAACUCCGUGCCAGCAGCCGCGGUAAUACGGAGGAUCCGAGCGUUAUCCGGAUUUAGUGGGUUUAAAGGGAGCGUAGGAGGGUUUGUUAGGUAGUUGUGAAAAUUUGCCGCUCAACCAUAAAAUUUCAAUUGAUACGGGCAGGCUUGAGUACAGUUGAGGUAGGCGGAAUUCGUGGUGUAGCGGUGAAAUGCUUAGAUAUCACGAAGAACUCCGAUUGCGAAGGCAGCUUACUAAACUGCCACUGACAUUGAUGCUCGAAAGUGUGGGUAUCAAACAGGAUUAGAUACCCUUGUAGUC
rnacentral:rRNA from 1 species